rnacentral:rRNA from 1 species
AUACGUAGGGAGCAAGCGUUGUCCGGAAUUACUGGGCGUAAAGGGUGCGUAGGUGGUCAUGUAAGUCAGAUGUGAAAGACCGGGGCUUAACCCCGGGGUUGCAUUUGAAACUGUGUGACUUGAGUACAGGAGAGGGAAGUGGAAUUCCUAGUGUAGCGGUGAAAUGCGUAGAUAUUAGGAGGAACACCAGUGGCGAAGGCGACUUUCUGGACUGUAACUGACACUGAGGCACGAAAGCGUGGGGAGC